GGAAACAGAUGCUAAUACCGGAUAACAACAGAUGAUGCCUAUCAACUGUUUAAAAGAUGGUUCUGCUAUCACUCUUGGAUGGACCUGCGGUGCAUUAGCUAGUUGGUAGGGUAACGGCCUACCAAGGCGAUGAUGCAUAGCCGAGUUGAGAGACUGAUCGGCCACAUUGGGACUGAGACACGGCCCAAACUCCUACGGGAGGCAGCAGA
rnacentral:rRNA from 1 species